AGAGUUUGAUCAUGGCUCAGGAUGAACGCUGGCGGCGUGCCUAACACAUGCAAGUCGAGCGAUCUUCUUCAGAAGAGAGCGGCGGACGGGUGAGUAACGCGUGGGUAACCUGCCUCAUACACAUGGAUAACAUACCGAAAGGUAUGCUAAUACAAGAUAAUAUAAGAGAUUCGCAUGGAUUUCUUAUCAAAGCUCCGGCGGUAUGAGAUGGACCCGCGUCUGAUUAGCUAGUUGGUAAGGUAACGGCUUACCAAGGCGACGAUCAGUAGCCGACCUGAGAGGGUGAUCGGCCACAUUGGAACUGAGACACGGUCCAAACUCCUACGGGAGGCAGCAGUGGGGAAUAUUGCACAAUGGGCGAAAGCCUGAUGCAGCAACGCCGCGUGAGCGAUGAAGGCCUUCGGGUCGUAAAGCUCUGUCCUCAAGGAAGAUAAUGACGGUACUUGAGGAGGAAGCCCCGGCUAACUACGUGCCAGCAGCCGCGGUAAUACGUAGGGGGCUAGCGUUAUCCGGAUUUACUGGGCGUAAAGGGUGCGUAGGUGGUUUCUUAAGUCAGGAGUGAAAGGCUACGGCUCAACCGUAGUAAGCUCUUGAAACUGGGAAACUUGAGUGCAGGAGAGGAAAGUGGAAUUCUCUAGUGUAGCGGUGAAAUGCGUAGAUAUUAGGAGGAACACCAGUAGCGAAGGCGGCUUUCUGGACUGUAACUGACACGUGAGGCACGAAAGCGUGGGGAGCAAACAGGAUUAGAUACCCUGGUAGUCCACGCCGUAAACGAUGAGUACUAGGUGUCGGGGGUUACCCCCCUCGGUGCCGCAGCU
rnacentral:rRNA from 1 species